rnacentral:rRNA from 1 species
AAUAGUGAUAUGGAGCAAAACCCUAAAAAGACGGUCUCAGUUCGGAUUGAAGGCUGAAAUUCGCCUUCAUGAAGCUGGAAUUGCUAGUAAUGGCAGGUCAGCAUACUGCCGUGAAUACGUUCCCGGGCCUUGUACACACCGCCCGUCACACCAUGAGAGUUGGAAAUACCCGAAGCCUGUGAGCUAACAGUAAUGAGGCAGCAGUCGAAGGUAGAGCCAAUGAUUGGGGUGAAGUCGUAACAAGGUAAC